UAACUUAAAUAGAUUAUAGAGGUCCCAAGGCACCGUAUGUUGUAAAAUGGCAACGUUUCGCCUUUCACCAUGUUUAUUAAAAUGUAUGCUCAAUAUGUAUGUUCUCUCUCUAAAUAUAAAUGAAUACUUUUCGGAUUUAAACAAAAAUAUAUUUUUAACCCCGCUCAAAUUAUCCGGAUGAUAAUAGUUAUACCGAGCAUGGUUUCGUAGUUAAAUUCAGACUGUAGUACAUCCGGUUUGAAUACAUGUAUACAUGUGUUUUCUUCUGACUUUCCGUUUUCGGAUAGCCAACUCUUUUGAUUUUUGGAACUUAUGACUUAUGGCAAGAGAGAAGAAAACUGCAUGACUUUAAAAGAAAACCAGUGAGAUAAAAUCAUAUAAAAUGUAUGAUGAUUCAGGAUGUGGUCAUUUGAGACCUGUUCUGUGGAUGCCCUUAGACAGUGUGUCUACCCAUCACGCCAUCUGAUAUCACUUGUUCUGAGCAUAUUUCUCUCUCAAACUUAAACUACAGAGAGCCUGUGGAUAGAGGAUGAAGAGUGACCUUGGACUAAUUUUCUAGGUCAAAGAUCAUAGGUGAUGUGAAGGAAAUACCAGGGAACUGAUGUUGAAAGAAGUACUUAAUGACGCUUAUGAAUGGACUUAAAUGUGAAAGACUGUUCCAUUGUUUAUCUAAGAAAUAUGAAUUUAUUUA